GUAUAAUUUUAAUGUUUGAAACCUAAAGAAUUUGGCGGCAUUUUAUCUUUUUAGAGGAACCUGUUCUUUAAUUGAUGUUACACGAUUGGUUCAAUUUUAUAUAUUUGUUUGUAUAUUUCCGUUAUAAGGGAAUUUAUUGAUAAUAUUUUCAUAUUUUUUAAUUAUAAUUUAUUUCAGGUCAAGGUGCAGCUUAUUAUAGAAUUUGUAAUGGGUUACAAUAAUUUAAAUUAUAUGGAUUCUUAUUUUUGAUUUUAAGUUGAAGGUGGAUUUAUAAGUAAAUUUUAAUAAUUAUUAAAUUUGAAUUAGUUCUAAUUUGUGU
rnacentral:rRNA from 1 species